GGCGGACGGGCUGAGUAACGCGUGGGAAUCUACCCAGUAGUGGGGGACACUACCGGAAACGGUAGCUAAUACCGCAUACGCCCUAUGGGGGAAAGGCUUCGGCCGCUAUUGGAUGAGCCCGCGUCAGAUUAGCUAGUUGGUAGGGUAAAGGCCUACCAAGGCAACGAUCUGUAGCUGGUCUGAGAGGACGAACAGCCACACUGGGACUGAGACACGGCCCAGACUCCUACGGGAGGCAGCAGUGGGGAAUAUUGGACAAUGGGCGAAAGCCUGAUCCAGCAAUGCCGCGUGUGUGAAGAAGGCCUGCGGGUUGUAAAGCACUUUCAGUUGGGAAGAUGAUGACGUUACCAACAGAAGAAGCACCGGCUAAAUCCGUGCCAGCAGCCGCGGUAAUACGGAUGGUGCGAGCGUUAAUCGGAAUUACUGGGCGUAAAGCGCGC
rnacentral:rRNA from 1 species